CAGCAGCCGCGGUAAUACGUAGGGGGCAAGCGUUGUCCGGAAUUAUUGGGCGUAAAGCGCGCGCAGGCGGUCAUUUAAGUCUGGUGUUUAAUCCCGGGGCUCAACCCCGGAUCGCACUGGAAACUGGGUGACUUGAGUGCAGAAGAGGAGAGUGGAAUUCCACGUGUAGCGGUGAAAUGCGUAGAUAUGUGGAGGAACACCAGUGGCGAAGGCGACUCUCUGGGCUGUAACUGACGCUGAGGCGCGAAAGCGUGGGGAGCAAACAGGAUUAGAUACCCCGGUAGUCCCUGUCUCUUAUACA
rnacentral:rRNA from 1 species